rnacentral:lncRNA from 1 species
AAUAAACUCAACUGAAAAUCAUGCAAAACCAAGAUAAAUGUGUUAGGACUUAAUUGUCACCACCAUAUAAAUUUCCGUCAAGCCUGGUAAGAGAAGCUUGGAGCAAUAUUUUCGACAAUAUACAUUAUAAGCAUGAUGUAGUUACGAAAUAGCUUUACCAGACUACUUUUCUUCCCAACAAAUAUGUUUUUGCUAGAACAACUCAAAUUGCAAUUGCUCUCCUGCAGCACUAUAUUCCAGAUACUUUUCCUCCUCUUGAGUUGCUAUUUUGGAAAUACCGGUGUCAUAGAACUCUGGAAUUUGGGGUGGAAUGGCACAGCGUAUCAAUGGCCAAUUUAGGCCGUCGAAGAAUGGGUGUCGUUUGAUCUCGGCAGCUCCAGUCUCCGUCCCCAACCGGUUCUCGGGUUCCUUCACCAAAAGACCUCUAAUGAGAU